rnacentral:lncRNA from 1 species
UAUGUCUAGGACGGUUCGGGGGUGUUACAGAGGUGGUAUCAGAGCAUGGUUUCGUCCAUGCUUUCGGAACUCAUGAUUUAAUCGGUUUUUGAAUAUUUUAUCGAGUCAAAAUGAGUCACAAAAGGCAUUAGGGAAACCGGUCACGUCCAGCGAUAGGAUUUUUGGUUUUAGGAAUUUGGAUUGAGAUAGUGGAAUCUAGAACUGUUAGGUUGCUUGGGUAGAAUUGCUAGGUUGCUUGGGUAGAACUGUUAGGUUUCUGGUUAGCAUUGCUAGGUUGUUGUUAGUAGACUAUUGGGAUUAGUUGUCUACUAACUUGUGUGUGAGGUGUUCUUUUGAGU